rnacentral:sRNA from 1 species
GCUGGCUGCCACCGUCCUGACCCUGGCCCUGCUGGGCAAUGCCCAUGCCUGCUCCAAAGGUACCUCGCACGAGGCAGGCAUCGUGUGCCGCAUCACCAAGCCUGCCCUCCUGGUGUUGAACCAAGAGACUGCCAAGGUGAUCCAGACCGCCUUCCAGCGAGCCAGCUACCCAGAUAUCACGGGCGAGAAGGCCAUGAUGCUCCUUGGCCAAGUCAAGUAUGGGUUGCACAACAUCCAGAUCAGCCACUUGUCCAUCGCCAGCAGCCAGGUGGAGCUGGUGGAAGCCAAGUCCAUCGAUGUCUCCAUUCAGAACGUGUCUGUGGUCUUCAAGGGGACCCUGAAGUAUGGCUACACCACUGCCUGGUGGCUGGGUAUUGAUCAGUCCAUUGACUUCGAGAUCGACUCUGCCAUUGACCUCCAGAUCAACACACAGCUGACCUGUGACUCUGGUAGAGUGCGGACGGAUGCCCCUGACUGCUACCUGUCUUUCCAUAAGCUGCUCCUGCAUCUCCAAGGGGAGCGAGAGCCUGGGUGGAUCAAGCAGCUGUUCACAAAUUUCAUCUCCUUCACCCUGAAGCUGGUCCUGAAGGGACAGUCCCCUGUGCCAGUUCCCAGCAUUGCCACCACCACGCAGCUGGAAGAAGGCACUGCCUCUGGCCUCCUUUCCCCUCUGGAAAGCACCUGCUCUGUCUGCCCCAGAUCUGCAAAGAGAUCAACGUCAUCUCUAACAUCAUGGCCGAUUUUGUCCAGACAAGGGCUGCCAGCAUCCUUUCAGAUGGAGACAUUGGAGUGGACAUUUCCCUGACAGGUGAUCCCGUCAUCACAGCCUCCUACCUGGAGUCCCAUCACAAGGGUCAUUUCAUCUACAAGAAUGUCUCAGAGGACCUCCC